GUUUUUGAUGAAAGGUAUCCUCUUUAUGGUGGAGCUUCUUAUCCUUUUGUUGAUGAAGGUUUUGAUUGCGAGGGGAAUGGAAGAUUGGAUAGAAAUUUUACUAAGUGGAGAUGGCAACCUCAAUAUUGUGACCUUCCAAGUGUUGGGUCGGUUCAUACAAGGUAAAGGACUAGCUUCAAUUGGGCCCCCUGCAUUGUUCUUCUGGAUUAGUCGGUCUUAAAGAGAGACUUUUUACUAUUAGGAGUAACAUAUGUGAAGUUAGUAGCAAAGGUGAAGUUAAUUUUAUUCUUUAAGUACUGUUUUUUUGUGUUAUAGAUUCAAUGCAACAAAAAUGUUGGAGUUGAUAAGAGGAAAAAAACUAGUUUUUGUGGGUGAUUCAAUUAAUAGGAACCAAUGGGAAUCAAUGUUGUGCAUGUUAUUGAGUGAUGUUAAAGAUCUACAGAGAGUGUUUGAGGCACGUGGAAGGAAAAUUACCAAAGAGAAAGGGAACUAUAGUUUCAGGUUUCUGGAUUAUCAAUGUAGAAUUGAGUACUAUGUAAGUCAUUUUAGUUCAUGAAAGCAAGGCGAGAGUAGGGCAGAAAUGAAGAACGACGCUGCGAAUUGAUGUCAUUGAUCACGGUUCGUCGAGAUGGAGAGGAGCUGAUAUUUUGGGUUUCAACACAAUGGUAUCAUUACAAAACCAAAGCUGGGUUAGUACCUCUCUUAAAUUUCCCAAUUGAAGCCUUGUGCAGCGCUACCUCUCUCUCCUUGCCUUCCUGCAAAUCGCAUUUUCCUAGCAGGAGGUCUUGCAGGAGGUCUUCAUGAGGGUGCUAAAGUGAUUGAGAAGCAUGCCGCACAACUCUAUACUCUAGUCGAAGAUUGUGACCAACCCGAUUAUGUCAAAUUGGUGAAAGCCCUUUGUGCAGAACAUAAUGUUAGUUUGCUGACAGUUCCAAGUGCAUUGACACUUGGAAAAUGAGAUGGUGUAAGUGCCCUUCACCCUUAACCUAGUUUUGGUUGAAGCAACAGCUCUACCAUAUCUAGAGAUUUGACCUAAUGAACUAAGUUUAGAUGAAAAGGCAGAGUUACUCUUUUUAGAUCAGGGGUAUGUAUGCCAAUUCAUUCAACACGACUAUUGUAAUUCUUGAAGUUGGUUGGAAAACCGGGAAAUAACUUGCACUUUUAUGAGUACUCUUCAUUUAGUCUAGUGUUUGGUUUACAACUGGCUUACACCUAAGGAAGUAGAAUUUCACAACCGUGAAAUGACUUGUUAGGAAUAUGUGAAGUUAACAACUAAGGAAGUAUUAACAAUUUAAUUAAUUUCAUUUUGCAGCUUGUUAGUUUAAUGUUUGGUUUACAACUGGCUUAUACCUAGAAGAAUUAGAAUUUGUUAUGUGCUGAUACUUAUUUCAAUUUGAUGGUAAAAACUUUGUUGCAAAUUUGAAGGAACCUUUUAAUCUUCAAAGGGGUUGGCUUUUGUGAGCUGGAGUUGGACUUGUUGGUGCUCUAGUUUCAAUUGGAUUGACAGGAGUUAAUGUGUCCUUUAGUUGAGAAACCCCACAAAGAGAGGUGCAGCUAUUUUCUCUUCUUUCUCUACUGCAGUAGUUAAGUUAUGCUCCUUAGAGCUGUUUUAAGAAGAAACGUCAAUGGAGAAGAGUGACUUGAUGCUGGACUUAGCCGCUUGGAGAUUUGCGAGGCACUUGGAUUUCACUGCCGGUCCGUCAUUUACAACACCCCCCGCAAAAACUUCUGGUGAAGAGAUUCUUGCUACUGGAUCUUUGGAUGGAACGGCAAUAAUUAAGUCAAAUUUGUUAUUGAAGCUGUUUGGAAUUCAUCUCAUUUGGCUGCAAAUAUUUCUUACAAGUAAAGCUUUGGGUUUCAUGUAUAUCUAAUGGAAAGUUAUUAUACAAAUCAUGAUAUCAUUGUUAAAUUGAUACAAAUCAUGGCGAGGUUGGCGACGUAGGCGAGGUCUGGCAAUCAGACAAUUCUGACAUGAACCAAAGGAGAGGCAAUAGGAAUUUUGAGAAUUUAUAUAGUAACACUUCCCCUGAUUAUUUGCCUUUUGAAUUCAGGGCUUGAAGUUGUCCUCGAGGCAGCAUGCACAUUUCUUGACACCCAGAUUCGGAAGAGAACAAUAGGUCAAAAACAAGGUUCGCAUGUAGGAUGACCUAACUCUGUUAUAUCAGAAACAUAUAGCAAGUGAAAACAUAGAGGCGAAUCCAGGACUCGUUUUAUAUUUAGUUUUGGUUUAGGUUUAUUAGAUGUAUAAUGUACUUAGUCAAUCACGAUGCUAUUGUCAUUGAUGUGUAGACACUAAAAUAAUUUGUAUUCAUACAAUUAUAGUAAUCAAGUUUUAAAUUCUUCAAA